rnacentral:rRNA from 1 species
GAUCAUGGCUCAGAUUGAACGCUGGCGGCAGGCCUAACACAUGCAAGUCGAGCGGAUGAAGAGAGCUUGCUCUCUGAUUCAGCGGCGGACGGGUGAGUAAUGCCUAGGAAUCUGCCUGAUAGUGGGGGACAACGUUUCGAAAGGAACGCUAGUACCGCAUACGUCCUACGGGAGAAAGCAGGGGACCUUCGGGUCCGUUGCGCUAUCAGAUGAGCCUAGGUCGGAUUAG